rnacentral:rRNA from 1 species
CCUACGGGAGGCAGCAGUGGGGAAUAUUGCACAAUGGGGGAAACCCUGAUGCAGCGACGCCGCGUGAGGGAAGAAGUAUCUCGGUAUGUAAAGCUCUAUCAGCAGGGAAGUAAAUGACGGUACCUGAUCAAUAAGCUCCGGCUAACUACGUGCCAACAGCAGCGGUAAUACGUAGGGGGCAAGCGUUAUCCGGAUUUACUGGGUGUUAAGGGAGCGUAGACGGCAGAGCAAGUCUGAAGUGAAAUGCCGGGGCUUAACCCUGGAACUGCUUUUGAAACUGUGAAGCUUGAGUGCAGGAGAGGUAAGUGGAAUUCCUGGUGUAGCGGUGAAAUGCGUAGAUAUUAGGAGGAACACCAGUUGCGAAGGCAGCUUACUGAACUGUAACUGACGUUGAGGCUCGAAAGCGUGGGGAGCAAACAGGAUUAGAUACCCUGGUAGUC